AAAUUGAAGAGUUUGAUCAUGGCUCAGAUUGAACGCUGGCGGCAGGCCUAACACAUGCAAGUCGAACGGUAACAGGAAGCAGCUUGCUGCUUUGCUGACGAGUGGCGGACGGGUGAGUAAUGUCUGGGAAACUGCCUGGUGGAGGGGGAUAACUACUGGAAACGGUAGCUAAUACCGCAU
rnacentral:rRNA from 1 species